rnacentral:rRNA from 1 species
UACAGAGGUCUCAAGCGUUGUUCGGAUUCAUUGGGCGUAAAGGGUGCGUAGGCGGCGGGGCAAGUCAGGUGUGAAAUCUCCGAGCUUAACUCGGAACUGUCAGCUGAUACUGAUGUGCUAGAGUGCGGAAGGGGCAAUCGGAAUUCUUGGUGUAGCGGUGAAAUGCGUAGAUAUCAAGAGGAACACCUGAGGUGAAGACGGGUUGCUGGGCCGACACUGACGCUGAGUGCGCGAAAGCCAGGGGAGCAAACGGG